ensembl:lncRNA
GCUGCUGUCAGUGGUGAUGGAUGGAUGUGUGUGCUGUAGAGUUGUGGCAUCUUAAUUGUUUACAUAACAUGCUAUUUUCUCUCUCAAAAGACUCUGUCUGGGAAGGAUGAAGGUGUGCAUAUUUUAUACUCCUCUUUUGCAUGCAUUUUAAAGGCAUUGAUAAAAGGAGUCCUGGAACUAGUACAGUCUGCUAUCUUCUGUCGGCCCUUGUUUCUUGGGCCCUGAGUGACAGCUCUUCAGAAGUGAUAAUUGGUGUACUGUAUCUUUAAAAGGUUAAAACCUCUUUCAAAAAAAAAAAAAAAGGCCUGGACUCAUAGUGGAAAAGACAAGCGGGGCUUUGGUUGGCUCUGGAUUCAGAAAACAGCUGCUGAUUAGAUUCUGCGUCUGCAGGCUGAAUUCAUUCCGUGUUUUUCAGCAGCAGGAAUUCGAGAGGGAUGCUUCUGUUUGGGUUUCUGAUCGUGAUUUAUAUUUAUUCAGAGGAAUAACAGAGGAUGGAUUUGUUCCCGGCCGGAGCAUGCUCACAACCAACAGGCUCUCCCAUGAUCCAACUGCCCAGUUUGGUGCUUUAAUGUACAUAUCUGUUCACCGUUCAUGUGUGUGGAGUUAGACAGAUAUGCCUAUGGGCAUCCAGUUGUGUGUGUGUGUGUGUAUGUGUAUAUGUGUGUGUGAGGGGGUGGGUGGGUGUAGGUGCACGCGCAUAGAGGAUUAUUAUUUUUUUUAAAAGCAGAUUCCUUAAAUGAGAUUUUUUUUUUACCCCUCACUUGAAACAGGUGUUAAUGAAAAAAUGCACACAAUCCUGACAGAUGGGACUGGUUCAUGAAGGAGGGGACGGCCAGCUCAGUGUUUCAGAGACCACAGGACCAGCUUCCCAUCCAGAGCAAAGAUUGGAAACCAGUUCCAGGGAGAUUUCUAUGGUACAUAACAGAAAGUGUAUUGGCCUUAGGUCCAGGACUAUCGGCUUCAAAUCAACACUUCUCAGUGUUGGAAUGAUGGGCAAGUCAUUUAAACUCUUCUGCAUCAUCCCCUUCCCAACCCCCCCCCAAUUCCUUUAUUUUUGUAAUGAGGAUAAUCAUACUUGCCACACCUACUUUGCAGGGUUGUCAUGAGGAAGGUGCUUUGUAAAUACUAUCUGGAGAACUUUUUAGAACAAUUAUCUAAAGCAGGGGUGGGAAACCUGGGGCCUUGAGGCCACGUGUGGCCUUCUAGAUACUUAAGUGCAGCCUUUUGACUGAAUCCAAAUUUUAUAGAACAAAUCCUUUUAGUAAAAGGAUUAGAUUCUAAAGCAAUGCUUGUCUACCAGGCUCUGGGUAGCUAUGGUUUUUCCAUGCCCUCUUUCUGAUAUUGAGAGAGUGUCACUAAACAAAUAUUUGUUGGAGACUCCCUUAUAAGAGAAAAUUUAAUACAGAAAAUUGAAAGUCCUACAUUUGGGUAAAAAAAAAAUUCAUCAGUAUAGCAUGGGGAAGAAAGGGCUGGACAUUCUGGGUGAAGAAGAUCAGGGGAUUUUAGUGGAAUGUAAGCUCAAUAUGAAAUAUGAAAGCUUUUGUUUCUUGUUUUCAUUGAAGAUUGCCUUGGUUUAUCCACAGACCAGUCUCUAAAGGUCUUAUAGAGAAAAAGAAGCAGGGACAGAUAGCUCAAUAAGUAGAUCAAUCAACAGAUAGAUUCUCCUGUUAUCUUAGUUGCCUUAUUUUGAUAAAAAUGCCAUCCAUGAUUUUCCACUCAUGGUAGAUGAUUCCUCUCAUUGGAAGUCUUCAGACAAGCUGGGUGACAACUUUUGGGUAUGUUGUAGAGAAGGGGUGUCAAACACAAAUAGAAUCAGGGGCUACUGGUGUACAUAUGUUCACUUAGAAAACCACAUAUUAACAUUUUCUGUAUUUUGCUGUAUUUUUAUUUAUUUCAUUAAAUAUCUGCCGAUUACAUUUUAAUCUAGUUUGGGCCUCACCAUGCAUUUGAUACCCCUGUUGUAGAGGAGGGGAUUUCGGCUCAGGUGCAAGUUAUACAAGAGGUGUUGUGAUGGAGGGGAAAGAGCACUGAAUUUGGAAUCUCUGUUUUUGGGGAGGCUGAGGCGGGUGGAUUGCUUGAGUUCAGGAGUUCUGAGCUGCCAUGGGC